AACGAACGCUGGCGGCGUGCUUAACACAUGCAAGUCGAGCGGGAAAGUUUCCUUCGGGAAGCGAGGUACAGCGGCAGACGGGUGAGUACAACGUAGGUAACCUACCCUCGAGACCGGGAUAACCUGUCGGAAAGACGGGCUAAUACCGGAUAAGACCACAAGGGCUGCGGCCUUUGAGGUAAAGAUGGCCUCUGCUUGCAAGCUAUCACUUGGGGAUGGGCCUGCGCGCCAUUAGC
rnacentral:rRNA from 1 species